UAAAAAGAGGGACAAACCCCGCCCACAAGGCUCAGGUGGGUUUGGACUCCUCCCACCGCCACCUGGAGGCAAGAUAGCCCCUCCCCCCUCAUCAGGCUCGUCCAAUCACAACAUCGUCCCCCAGACGGGAGACAUGGCAACAGGCUGCCUGCUGGAGCUGGACAGUAGUAACUCUAACACGGUGGUUCAGUCAAACGCUAGUUCAGAUCUUUGGGGAGACUUCUCCGCUCCUGCAAGCUCUGUUCCUCCUCCAUCUCGACCACAGAACGCCGGAAACUGGAUCCAGUUUUGAGUCGUCGGCCGUCCCGUCGGCCUCCAUCUCACCUGCAUCUGUGUCUGUAGCUUCCUGUGCAUCACACCCACAGUAACUCCCACACACUGAUCCCAAAGCCGAGACGUGAAACUCCACAGAGCUGUAGAAACACUUCAUUCAGAGAGAAUCUUUCAAAUAUUCUUGACAGGAAAUGAAGCAUUAAUCUGUCUAAGCCAUCACAUGAUAUGAGCCAUUUCCAAGUAUAUUCAAGGGCUAUGUGUGACGUCCUGAGUAGCAGGUGUUUUCCUUUUCCGUGUCUGCGUCGCCUCCCCGGCAGAUGGCUCUCUGAGCAGAGCUUUAUCUCUGAUCUGGAAUGUUUUUGUCACUGCGACGGCUCCCCCCGCAGGCGCUGCACAGAGCUGCAACUCAACAAAAGGCUCCUGAGCUUUCUGUAACCUGCUGUGAAGUUUACUCAGUCAGACAGUUUCUUUAUUGCGCUAAAAUUGGCACUUAAAUCUUUUUUUUUGUGCAUCAGCCUUAUUAUUAUCGGCUUUUUCAUAUAUGUCCUGAAAUGAUUUUGCAUUUACAGCAAAAGUGUUUCUAAUUUAUUUCAAUACAAAUCCUAAAGAAAAAACAGGUUGAGACCGAUUAGAGUUUUUCACAAAGAAAAGUAGGAUUUUUAGCCUGAACGUGGAAUUAAAAGACUCGUCUCGUCCUCACACUGUGAACUGAGGAGCAGAACGACAUUUUCCACACAACAAACAAUUUCUGUAUUUGAAACAUCAGCUAUAAGUCUAAAGUUUGGAUUCAUUACAUAAUGAUAUCAUGUAAGAUGCAAAAUGUUUAGAUUAGCUUUGCUUUAUGGAAAAAUUAACCCUUUGGGAUGGA